UGGACAUAAUAUAUGCUGAUAAUAAAUUUGAUCGGAAAAUUUUAGUAUAGGUUUUUGACCCUGCAAAUUUCAUGGAAAUGAUAAAUUUAAGAUUUUAUGAUAGUUUCCCCAAAAAAUAUGUUGUAAAGUUCAUAAAUAUUUACCGAAAUAUUAUAAUUAAGCCUAUGUACUACAUAUAAUUUAAUCAAAGUAAAGAGUGAUUACGUUUUCCAUCAUUUAAAAAAAAAGUCAAAUUAAAGUAUCAAGAAGAUCAUAUAACAACGGAUGGAGUAUAAGUCAUAGCUAGGUACUAAUUAAUUUCGUGUUGUAGGAAGACUCCAAGGGUGCGUAAAAAUAAAAGAUUGGGUGUAAUACAAUUACUAAUUUACUUCUCUAUAAUCUUUAUCCCAAUACCCUUACAAACAACACGCCAAGGCACAAUUUAUAACUCUAAAACAUUCACAAUCCAAGACACAAUAAAGAAAAUAAUUUAACAUAACUAUAGUUUCUUGAAACUAUAUAUUUGAGAAUUAAUUGUAAAUAUAUCAAACAAAACAAUCAAAUAAAUGAAAUCAGGUGAUUGCUUCUAAAGGAAUUCAUAAGAUACACUAACUUGUCUUAUUUGUGGCGAAAAUUCACAAUGCUUAAGAUGCUUGAUUGAUUGGAUAUAUGCUUGAUUGAUAUAUAGUGUGAAUGAUGAGUAAAAGCUACUUAAAAAGCUUGUGCCGAACACGCCCUAAGUCAAUAACUUAUCCUCUAAAAAUAAAAGUCCCUAACUUAUUAUAUAACAUGAUCAGAGUAUAUCAUAUAUAGACCUGAUUAUUGGACAGGGUAGUCCAAUGACUACAUGGUUAGGGUCAAAUUUAAAGGUUUUUAUUAGACAUGAUCAUUGUUGGACAUGGUCGUUAUAGGACCGACAAAAUAUCCCAAAGAUUUUGAAAAAUAAAUUAGAUAUUGAAAAAAAAUUACAUGUAUGAAUUCCUGUCCAAUUACACUCACUUUUGUCUCUCUCCGUUCAUUAUUUUUCUUACCCGACUAUUAUCGGCCCGUAAUCGACCCACGAUCCACAUUUCGACCGACCUACCAGCGACCCCUUAUGAAUUGACCCUUAAUGACCCAACUCGCUACCUGCACCAACCCUGACCCGAUCCUCCAAAUAACAAUGUAUAAUUAUAUACAAUAAGAAUCCUAAUUUCAUCUUGGAGGUUGAUGGCCACGAAUUAGCAAUAAUUGUUGUCUAACUUUCAACAAACAAAACUUAUUCCCCAUCCCCUAAUAUCUAACUUAAGUAUAAGGGCCUAUUCUCCCCAGCUUAUUUUCAGUUCAGUUCAGUUCAGUUCAGCUCCAAUAAGUUCAGUUCAGUUAAGCUCCAAUAAGUUCAGUUCAGUUCAGUUCAGCUCCAUUCUUUUAUAAUUAUUUUGUUAGAUUUUAUUAUUAUGUUGGUAUAAUUUAUUUUACUAAUUACUCUUAUUAUUAUUAUUAUUUAUUAUUAUUAUAUUAUUAUUAUUAUUAUUAUUAUUAUCAUUAUUAUCAUGAUUAUUAUUAUUAUUAUUAUUUAAAUAUAUAUCAUUACUAUUAAGUAUUAUUAUUAUUAUUAUUAUUAUUAUUAUUAUUAUUAUUAUUGUUGUUGUUGUUGUUUCUAUAUAUUAUUUUGUUUAUUGUAGCUUUACUCAUUAUUAUUACUAUUAUUAUUAGGAGGAACAUGAUUUAGGUCAAAGCACAAAUAAACCCACUUUUUUUAGCCCAUAAACCAAUCAAAUCGCGUCAAGACGGUUUAUGAUGUAAUUUUUGCGGUCCAACCCAAUCAUUAUUUUUAUUACUAAAUAUUUUUAUAGUAUUAAAUCUAAUUAUUAAAAUAGUAAUAUUAAUUUACUUCUUAGAUAUUAUUUUUAUUAUAUAUCAUCAUCAAGUAUUAAUAUAUUAAUAAAAAUAAUAUAAAAUAAUUAUUAUUAAUUAUCAUUAUUAUCAUUAAUUAUUAUUAUUAUUAAUUUAUGAUUAUUAAUAUUAUUUAUUUAUAACUAUCAUUUAAAAAUAUCCAAAAUACUAUUAUUAUUAUUAUUAUUAUUAUUAUUAUUAUUAUUCAUUAUUAUUACUUAUCUUUAUAAUUAUUAUUUAAUAUUCAUAUUAUUCUUGUUUAAAAUAUUAUUUAUAUAUUUAUUACAUUCAAUUUAUUUCAAUUCAAUUUAAUUCAAUUCAGUUUAGUUCAGUUCAGUUCAGCUCUGAUAAGUUCAGUUCAGUUCAGUUCAGCUCCAAUAAGUUCAGUUCAGUUCAGUUCAGUUGUUUUAUGCCGAAGAGAACAUGCCCUAAGUAUGUGUUAUUACUAACUUGGAGGAAAUCCUUGAAUUUUAUUGAGAAACUAUUGCAGACAAUGACUUUCUUUUCUUUUUGUUAGCGUUUUAAAUGCACCAUUGUAAUUUAAAUGCACCAUUGUAAUUUUUCAUUUGGUAGCUCAUGACACUGUUAGCAUAAAGUAAUAAUAUAGCAUUAUUAGCUUCAUUUCCAGAUUAAAGUACUAAAAGAAUGGGUAAAACCAAACCAACCGAACCUUUGUCUCUUUAGUGAUCUUCUUGCCUGGUCUCAGUUAUUCGAUUAUCCUGAUCUAUACGAAAUCCAACAAAAAAGAAGGGGGGAAAUGGGGAGUUUGAUCUUUUCUCUCUCCGAAUUCUCAUACUGUAAAACACCGAUCUAAACCCAUCCUUCCUGGAAAAUUAGGGGAAAGUAGAGCGGAUGAUUCUAUUCAAAUUAAAUCGUCAAUUUGUUUUUAAAACCUUGAUUUUUCUGCUUAAAGUAUUAAUCUUUGAUCCAUUUUUGUAAGCUAAGAGUUGAGUUGAGUUGAGCAGUGAGAGAAAAUGAGAAAGCAUAUAUGACAACUUUCAUAUCACCCACUUCAAGUUGUAGCUAUUGCUGUGUUUUUAGCACUUGGGUUUUUCUUUUUUUUGCUUCCUUUGCUCCAAAUGCAUGGAGCAAUGGCGAAAAUUUUGAAUGGAUUCAUGGGUCAUUAGAAGUUGUUUGUGCAUUUGUGGACUAUGUAUAGCAUUACAGGUGACAAAUGUAAUAGGGUACUGUCAAAUUUUUAAUUUUGGAUUGUAAUUUUGCCAUGACUUUCGAAGUUUGAAUUCAUAGAAAUUAUAAUGGCAAUUUCAAACCGUCAUUCAUAAA